rnacentral:rRNA from 1 species
AGAAGUUUGAUCCUGGCUCAGGAUUAACGCUAGCGGCAGGCUUAAUACAUGCAAGUCGAGGGGCAGCAGUAUUACUUCGGUAAUGCUGGCGACCGGCGCACGGGUGCGUAACGCGUAUGCAACCUACCCAAUACUGAAGGAUAGCCUGAGGAAACUCGGAUUAAUACUUCAUAGUACCAUAGAUAGACAUCUUGAAAUGGUUAAAGAUUUAUCGGUAUUGGAUGGGCAUGCGUACCAUUAGCUUGUUGGUGAGGUAACGGCUCACCAAGGCUACGAUGGUUAGUGGGUCUGAGAGGAUGAUCCGCCACACUGGCACUGAGAUACGGGCCAGACUCCUACGGGAGGCAGCAGUAAGGAAUAUUGGUCAAUGGGCGAAAGCCUGAACCAGCCAUGCCGCGUGCAGGAUGACAGCCUUCUGGGUUGUAAACUGCUUUUAUCAGGGAACAAAUAGGCCAUGAGUGGCAAGCUGAGUGUACCUGAAGAAUAAGCACCGGCUAACUCCGUGCCAGCAGCCGCGGUAAUAAGGGCGAAUUC